GACGAACGCUGGCGGCGUGCUUAACACAUGCAAGUCGAACGAUGAAGCCGGAGCUUGCUCUGGUGAAUUAGUGGCGAACGGGUGAGUAACACGUGAGUAACCUGCCCUUGACUCUGGGAUAACUGCGGGAAACUGUAGCUAAUACCGGAUACGACCCUCGGAGGCAUCUCCUGGGGGUGGAAAGAAUUUCGGUCAAGGAUGGACUCGCGGCCUAUCAGCUAGUUGGGGAGGUAAAGGCUCACCAAGGCGACGACGGGUAGCCGGCCUGAGAGGGUGACCGGCCACACUGGGACUGAGACACGGCCCCGGCUCAUACGGGAGGCAGCAGUGGGGAAUAUUGCACAAUGGGCGCAAGCCUGAUGCAGCACCGCCGCGUGAGGGAUGACGGCCUUCGGGUUGUAAACCUCUUUUAGCAGGGAAGAAGCGAAAGUGACGGUACCUGCAGAAAAAGCACCGGCUAACUACGUGCCAGCAGCCGCCGUAA
rnacentral:rRNA from 1 species